rfam:Oryza glaberrima chromosome 6 Oglab06_0233_7, whole genome shotgun sequence.
AAUAAGUGCAGUUAUGCAUUAUUCACGUUCAACGUUUGACCGUUCGUCUUAUUUUUUAUGAUUAGUAUUUUUAUUGCUAUUAGAUGAUAAAACGUGAAUAGUAUUUUACGUGUGACUAAAUAUUUUCAAUUUUUUCACAAAUUUUUCAAAUAAGACGGACGGUCAAACGUUAGGCACAAAUAUCCACGGCUGCACUUAUU